CUCGAAAGUUUCCAUUUCUGCAGAAUGUGUGGAGACGGAGUUCUUGUACAGAGGGUUGGAAGCCUGAGAAGAUCACAGUUGAGGAGAGGAAGUUACGUGGUGGCAUGCGAGCGAUCCAAUUCUAUCUGCCAUGGAUCGUGUUGUAUUUGGAAAUCAUGGCUGAGCGCUGGAAACCUCUCAGUUAAGCAACAUCCAGUUUUACUGCAGAGCUGAGUAACAUUGACCGCUCUCGUACACACCCAUGGUGAUGAUGCCUCUGCUCUUAAUAUGAAAAUUAAAGAUUGUUCAACGCAGGAGUCCAGCUUAAGGUUUCUU